AUGGAGCCACCCGGUUCAGGUUCAGGUUCAGGAGCAGCAGAACCGGUCGAGGAGGAGCGCAUCCAAGAACCGGCCUCCAACGCCUCCUCCAAUGGCGAUGGGGAUGGCGCCCCGAGCGCUGCUGCGCCGCCACCUCCCCUCCGCCUCGAGCAGGCCGGAGGCGGCGCCGAUGGGUCGCGCCCCGCCGCGGUGGUCGACCUCCGGAAGGGCAAGGCGCUCGCCGCCGGCCCCUUUCCGCCACCUGUCCCCCCAAGCUCCGCGGGCAGCAUCCCCGACUCCGCCUCCGCCUUCGGAGCCGGGGGGUCAAGCUCCUCGGCGGGGAGGAGGAUGGUGGUGCCGAGGGACGCGACGCUGCCGUUCGACUACACGCGGGUGUUCCAGCAGGUGGUACGAGAGGGGCAGUCGGUUAUCAUCGAGGAGGGCGAGGAGGAGCAGGUGGAAUCGCCGCACGCCAAGGACGCGCCCCCGGGAAAGGAAAAGAUUUUUCAUAGAGAAGGAAGGCAAAUAUGUUCAGAACGUGAGGAGCACCAGAUUUUUCGUAGAGAAGGAAAGCAAAUAUAUUCAAGACAUGUGGAGCACCAGACACGUCCCAUCAAUGAAGUAAGGAAUCGGUAUAUGGUUUCUUCUAACGAGGCGGACCAUCUUGAUGCCUAUUCGGAAAUUAGACUGGUGAUUGGAGAUGGGGAGUGUUUCUACAGGAGCUUCAUAUUUUCCUACCUAGAGCAAGUUAUUGAUAGGCAGGACACAGAUGAGGAACAUCGUCUCCUUGAUGUUGUUGAAAGAAUGUCUGUGCAACAUGCAAUUCUUGGAUGGAACUCUGAGUUUUCCAGGACCAGCAGAGCAUUUGAGGAGCUGAUUGAGAAAGUAAUGAGAUGGAAGGGCACGGAAUCAACUAGCAGUUGCCGUAAAGAGGAACUUCUCCAGUUCUUCAGCACGUAUGAGAGGACGCAAGACAUUUUUGCUUUCCUCAGAUUACUAGUAGCUAUCCAUAUAUGCUCGCACAGUGAGGAGUAUGUACCACAUAUACCAGAGGUCGACCAAGGAAAUUGCAGUCUGGAAGUUUGGUGCUUGGAGCACGUCAUUCCAGCUCGUGUGGACGCGGACCAUGUUAUGUUGGUGGCUUUGGCCACAGCGCUUGAGGUCCCCCUCAGAACGGAAUCAUUCCAACAAGGAUAUGCUCGAGAUAUCUACACUGGUCCUGGAUUUCCCCGUCCGAGUGUGACCCUGCUGUACACGGGAAAUCACUACAACAUCAUCUACCCACGUGCUCCUUCUGCUGAGAGUUCAAGUCAUCAGGCUUCCAAGAGAGAAGAUCCUGCUGAUCAGAGUUCAAGUCAUCAGGCUUCCCAGAGAGAAGAGCCUGCUGGUCAGAGUUGA
rnacentral:rRNA from 1 species